GCCUGGGUGGCUCAGUUGGUUAAGCAUCUGACUUCAGCUCAGGUCAUGAUCUCAUGGCUCAUGGGUUCGAGCCCCACAUCAGGCU
rnacentral:tRNA from 1 species